AAUGUUUUUAGCAUGAAAACUUGGCGGUCAAAUUUGGUCAAUUUUAGCAGUGAAUGUAAGACAUUAAAGGCUUAUUAUUAUUAAUAAUUUGCAUUGUGCAACGUAAUGUAAAAUGUAUUUAAUACUAUUAAAACCCCCAACUGUUAUUAAUUUUGGAAGAAAAAAAAAAGCUGACUGGUCAGGUUGAAAACCACUUGGAAAACGUGAAAACUUAAAUGACAAAACAUUUUUAGAAGUAGGCCUAUUAGCCUAUUAUUCCACUUUGUCAAAAAUAAUGCACCGUGUGGAUAAUCUAUAUUUGUACAGGGAAGUAAAGUUUCCACCCUUUCUCAAGAAAACGAAAGUUAUCCGAAUGUACAGUACAACAUGUCCAUAUCUUCGACAGACUUUCACCAUCGACACAGACAGACAAUUGACAGCUUGAAGAGGAGUCGACAACACGAUCGGCUACAUCAAGAUGAAGUGUCCUGACUGUGGUCACCAAGUGGCAAAAUCGUCAAAAUUUUGCAGUGAAUGCGGAUUGAGGUUACCUGCCCAAAUUUGCACCACAGAUGGGACCACUUCAGAGCAUCAAACAUCUGUGGUCUGUGAAGCAGAGCCCCAGAAGGAGGAUGCACCGCUGACAUCAUCAGGGGACAAGACCGACUCACCUAUGAAACACUCCAGUGAAGAACCAGGGGGCAAUGUCAAGAAAAAGAGUGGAGGCUCUUCCAGCGCUACUGAGCUGAGCACCGACACACGUCAAGAGAAAGAGGAGUUGUCUGGCAGUAAGAGCUCUACUCCAGUGGUGGAUUGCCCUCCUGUCAACACCGCCACACCUGCUGGCCCACCUGUCAACACUGCCACACCUGCUGGCCCUCCUGUCAACACCGCCACACCUGCUGGCCCACCUGUCAACACUGCCACACCUGCUGGCCCACCUGUCAACACUGCCACACCUGCUGGCCCUCCUGUCAACACCGCCACACCUGCUGGCCCUCCUGUCAACACCGCCACACCUGCUGGCCCUCCUGUCAACACCGCCACACCUGCUGGCCCUCCUGUCAACACUGCCACACCUGCUGGCCCUCCUGUCAACACUGCCACACCUGCUGGCCCUCCAACCAUACCUACAGCCUCUCCAAACCCAUCCUCCCACCAGACACUGCCAGAAGACCAGGCCAAGGGUCCAUCGAAGGUAAACGGAGGUACACCAAUGAAUGAGCCAAACCAACUUAGUCCUACAUCAGUCACACAGGCCUCAUCCACACCCGAGACAGCUGAUCAGAACACAGGAGGACCUGCCUCAGACCCAACUCAACCAGCCAGUGAACUCUUUGACGAGGAUGUCCUGAAGAGAACAUCAUCAAAAAGCCUUGAUGGUGAAGGUAACACAGAGGUUAGAGUGCUGAAUGAACUGAAGACCUCUAGUAACCAGACCGACGAGAAUAUCACAAAUGAAGCAAACUCAAAGAAGUGUGUUGACCAAUCCCAAGUAUCCCUUGGUGAUCAGAAAGGUUCUGACCCAACAGAUGAGCCAAACACUAGUCAAACACAACCUGCUAGUCCAGCUCCCUCAGUAACACAGGAUGUGCCUGAGAAGACAUCUAAGAGAAAAGAUCAGAACAAAACAGAACCCGCCUCAGUUCCAAGUCAAUCAGUAGGGCAGCUGUCAUAUAAAGACGCUCUGGUGGGGACUUCUCAGGAGACGGGAGAUCUGUCCAGAAGGCAAGGGGUUGGCGCCAGUAACCACAGAGACCAGAGCAGGAAAAAUGAAGCAAACUCACAGAACUUUGUUUUUGGAUCCCACAAGGCAGAGGCUGGUGACAAGCCUCAAGAAUCAAGGCAAGAGACUUCCAAGCCAAACAAGGAACCAGAGAAGCUGAGUAAUACGGGUGGUGGUGAUGCCUCCAAGUCAUCUACUAUUGACGCUCCACUUGCAGGGAAAGAUCUGCCUCCGAACCAACGUAAUGAAGACAGCUUCCAGCAUCAGCCACUGCCACCUCAGUUGUAA
rnacentral:lncRNA from 8 species